rnacentral:lncRNA from 1 species
GAGGCAGAGAAUUGCUUGAACUCUGGAGGUGGAGGUUGCAGUGAGCUGAGAUCAUGCCACUGCACUCCAGCCUGGGUGACAGAGUGAGACUAUGUCUCAAAAAAAGAAAGAAAGAAAGAAAGAAAAAUUUGAAGUAUAGAGGGGAAUCACAAAAAUUCUAAAUGGUAACUCAUGUCAGGAACCUGAAAGUCAAGUCUUCACUUCAGCAUUGGGAAGUAUAUGAAACUGUUUUCGGACCACACAACUCUGUGAGCUCAUCGCUAAGAAUUGGUAUGCAAGGUCUUCAGAAGGCUUGCUUGUUAAAGAAAUCUGUAACAUCUUUAGCAAGAAACAGAAAGACAGAGGGCAGCAUGGGACCAGAGUGCAGCUGUCCUUCAGAAGAACCUGACUGUACAACUUGCACAUCUGAAGAGGUAGCCAAGAAAAUAGAGAAAAGAAUGGGAAGUGGAUCUACCCACAUCCUCUCCCAUCCCCUCCAGAAAGAAAUGCAGCAUCUCUUUCUCAUUGUUUAAGAAGAAAAGGGGGAUCUCGGAGACAAAGCCAAUGAAGAAUAAAUGAGUGCUCUGCCAGUUCAAAGUCAAUGUGAAGAUUGGAUGGGGAAGCGUGCGGAGCUCAGAAGCAUUUUUUUUUUCCAGAGCAAGAGAAAAUCCAGUGACUGAAAAAGAAUAAGAAGAAAAACACUGACCAAGGCAAUAAUUCCAAGAAGUCAAAAAUUAAGGCCUGAGAGGAAGAAGGCAGACUAAAGAAAGUAGGUAAGACAGUGACCUGAACGAAAGUGCUGGCUCCAUGCUCUGUGACGUUGGGCGUCCUCACUGACCUCGGAAGCAUGGUCUUGGUGACACUGGUCAGGUGCAUGAAGUGUUAGAAAAUUUUAUUAAAGAUUCCAUGGUU